GAUGAACGCUGGCGGCGUGCCUAAUACAUGCAAGUCGAGCGAACAGACGAGGAGCUUGCUCCUCUGACGUUAGCGGCGGACGGGUGAGUAACACGUGGAUAACCUACCUAUAAGACUGGGAUAACUUCGGGAAACCGGAGCUAAUACCGGAUAAUAUAUUGAACCGCAUGGUUCAAUAGUGAAAGACGGUUUUGCUGUCACUUAUAGAUGGAUCCGCGCCGCAUUAGCUAGUUGGUAAGGUAACGGCUUACCAAGGCAACGAUGCGUAGCCGACCUGAGAGGGUGAUCGGCCACACUGGACCUGAGACACGGUCCAGACUCCUACGGGAGGCAGCAGUAGGGAAUCUUCCGCAGUGGGCGAAAGCCUGACGGAGCAACGCCGCGUGAGUGAUGAAGGUCUUCGGAUCGUAAAACUCUGUUAUUAGGGAAGAACAAAUGUGUAAGUAACUAUGCACGUCUUGACGGUACCUAAGCAGAAAGCCACGGCUAACUACGU
rnacentral:rRNA from 1 species